AAAUAAGCAGAAAUACAUAUACAAGGUGUAUUGGAUAGGUGAGCCCAGAUUCAAGGGGCAGGGAAAUACAGGGAAGGGUAAAGCAAUGGCACCAGUGAUGCAAUCAACUACUGAGUCCAAGAAGGAGAGAUGGAAAAGGUAAAUCAGGUGAGGAUGGCCUCAGCAAGGGAAGAGAGUUUCAAGAAUUGGGGAUGGUAAGCACUGUUAAAUGUAGCCUGAAAAUCCAGCAAGAUGAAGACCGGGGCACAUGGCAACUCAAGAGUCACCAGGGACCUUGGGGAAACAGCUUUAGAGGAGGGGUGUUUGGUAAGGAUACCACCAGAUCGUGGAGGGCUAAGAAAUGAAUGGGAGUGGAGAAGGUAGAAGGAAUGUACAUCCAUUCAUCCGACAGAUGAAUCCAGCUGAGGACCCACUAAGUGUCAGUCACUGUUCUAGGUGCUGGGGAGAGAGCCACGAACAAAGGAAGGGUCUUCUCUCACGGAGCUCACAUUCUAGUGGGAAGAGAGAUAGUAGACAAAGCAACCAAUAAAUAAGUAAGAAGAAUUGAAGUGGUGCAAUGGGCUACAAGGAAAUGAGAAUGGGCUCAGGUGAUGGAGAGGGAUGGGGAUUUGGAGAGGGGGAGUGCAGUGGAUGUGAAGAAGAUGGACAGAGAAAGCCUCUCUGAGGAGGUGAUGGUUGACCUGAGACUUAAAUGAUGAAAAGAAGCUGAUCUUGUCUUGGGAAAAGGAAGGGUAAGUGCAAAAAUCCUGGGUCAGGGAGGAUCUUCGCAGCUGGUUCAGGGAACGGAAAGAAGGUUGUGUGGCUGGAGUUCAUGGGCAAAUGGAAGGGAGAGAAAGGAAGGGGGUCUGCAGGCAGGAAGGUCCCAGACCACGGAGGCCUGAGGAUACCAUGGGAAGCUGAGGUUGGGUGGGAGAUUUAAGCAGAAGAAUGAUGCAAUCUGAUGUGCAUUUUCAAAGAUCACUUUAGCAGCAAUGUGCAGGAUAGAUUGUCUCUACUAAAAAUAA
rnacentral:lncRNA from 1 species